rnacentral:lncRNA from 1 species
CAUUUUGGGGGCUUUCUGGGCCAUUUUGAGGCUCUUUGGGGGCAUUUUGGUGCCCUCCAAAUGUAUUUCGGGGCUUUCUGAGUCCAUUGUGGGGCAUUUGGGGGCACUCUAGGUGCAUUUUGGGGCUCUUCAGGUGCAUUUUGGGGCUUUCUGGGGCCAUUUUGGGGCCCUCUAGUUGCAUUUUGGGGAUUUCUGGGCAAUUUUGGGGCUCUUUAGGUGCAUUUCAGGGCCCUCCAGGUGCAUUUUGGGGCUUUCUGGGGCCAUUUUGGGGCCAUUUUGGUGCCCUCUAGAUGCAUUUUGGGGCUUUCUGAGGCCAUUUUGGGGCUCUUUGGGGGCAUUUCAAGGCCCUCCAGGUGCAUUUUAGGGCUUUCUGAGGCCAUUUUGAGUCUCUUUGGGCUCAUUUCCGUGCUUUCUGGGGCCAUUUUGAUGCUUUCUGGGUGCAUUCCGGGGCACCCUUGUCCUCUAGAAUCCCUUUAGCAGCAGCCACUCUCGCACCUCGGCGUCCACGUGGCCCUUGAUGCGCAGCGUCCCCGUCACCUCGUUCACCUGCGUCUGCGGCUCCUUCCCCACGCGCUGCCCCAAGAACG